GUACCUACGGGACGCAGCAGUGAGGAAUAUUGGUCAAUGGCCGAGAGGCUGAACCAGCCAAGUCGCGUGAGGGAUGACGGCCCUACGGGUUGUAAACCUCUUUUGUCGGAGAGCAAGACCCGCCUCGUGCAGGCGAAGCGAGAGUACCCGAAGAAAAAGCAUCGGCUAACUCCGUGCCAGCAGCCGCGGUAAUACGUAGGUGGCGAGCGUUAUCCGGAAUGAUUGGGCGUAAAGGGUGCGUAGGCGGCCUGCUAAGUCUGGAGUGAAAGGUACCGGCUCAACCGGUACAGGCUCUGGAAACUGGG
rnacentral:rRNA from 1 species